rnacentral:rRNA from 1 species
GAUGAACGCUGGCGGCGUGCUUAACACAUGCAAGUCGAACGGAAAGGCUCCUGCUUGCAGGGGUACUCGAGUGGCGAACGGGUGAGUAACACGUGGGUGAUCUGCCCUGCACUUCGGGAUAAGCCUUGGAAACUGGGUCUAAUACCGGAUAGGACGAUGGUUUGGAUGCCAUUGUGGAAAGUUUUUUCGGUGUGGGAUGAGCUCGCGGCCUAUCAGCUUGUUGGUGGGGUAAUGGCCUACCAAGGCGUCGACGGGUAGCCGGCCUGAGAGGGUGUACGGCCACAUUGGGACUGAGAUACGGCCCAGACUCCUACGGGAGGCAGCAGUGGGGAAUAUUGCACAAUGGGCGCAAGCCUGAUGCAGCGACGCCGCGUGGGGGAUGACGGCCUUCGGGUUGUAAACUCCUUUCGCUAGGGACGAAGCGCAAGUGACGGUACCUGGAGAAGAAGCACCGGCUAACUACGUG